rnacentral:rRNA from 1 species
UACGUAGGGUGCGAGCGUUAAUCGGAAUUACUGGGCGUAAAGCGUGCGCAGGCGGUGAUGUAAGACCGAUGUGAAAUCCCCGGGCUUAACCUGGGAACUGCAUUGGUGACUGCAUUGCUGGAGUAUGGCAGAGGGGGGUGGAAUUCCACGUGUAGCAGUGAAAUGCGUAGAGAUGUGGAGGAACACCGAUGGCGAAGGCAGCCCCCUGGGCUAACACUGACGCUCAGGCACGAAAGCGUGGGGAGCAAACAGG